CCUACGGGAGGCAGUAGUGGGGAAUAUUGGGCAAUGGGCGCAAGCCUGACCCAGCAACGCCGCGUGAAGGAAGAAGGCUUUCGGGUUGUAAACUUCUUUUCUCAGGGACGAAGAAAGUGACGGUACCUGAGGAAUAAGCCACGGCUAACUACGUGCCAGCAGCCGCGGUAAUACGUAGGUGGCAAGCGUUAUCCGGAUUUAUUGGGUGUAAAGGGCGUGUAGGCGGGAGCGCAAGUCAGAUGUGAAAACUCAGGGCUCAACCCUGAGCCUGCAUUUGAAACUGUGUUUCUUGAGUGCUGGGGAGGCAAUCGGAAUUCCGGGUGUAGCGGUGAAAUGCGUAGAUAUACGGAGGAACACCAGUGGCGAAGGCGGAUUGCUGGACAGUAACUGACGCUGAGGCGCGAAAGCGUGGGGAGCAAACAGGAUUAGAUACCCUAGUAGUC
rnacentral:rRNA from 1 species